ensembl:rRNA 5S_rRNA 5S ribosomal RNA
GUCUACGGCCAUACCACCCUGAACGCGCCCGAUCUCGUCUGAUCUCGGAAGCUAAGCAGGGUCGGGCCUGGUUAUUACUUGGAUGGGAGACAGAAAAAUAAGUGGAUGAGUGGGUA